rnacentral:rRNA from 1 species
ACGAAAGGUGCAAGCGUUAAUCGGAAUUACUGGGCGUAAAGCGCGCGUAGGCGGCUUGAUAAGCCGGUUGUGAAAGCCCCGGGCUAAACCUGGGAACGGCAUCCGGAACUGUCAGGCUAGAGUGCAGGAGAGGAAGGUAGAAUUCCCGGUGUAGCGGUGAAAUGCGUAGAUAUCGGGAGGAAUACCAGUGGCGAAAGCGGAUCUCUGGAGUGUUACUGACGCUGAGGUUCGAAAGCGUGGGUAGCAAACAG